AUGAUUAGCACGAAGAGACUUGCUCAACUGGCAAAGAAGUGGCAGAGGGUGGCGGCACUUGGGAGGAAGAGGCUCACAGUGACAGCCAAAGAAGAUGAAGAAUGCUGCACCUCUGGAGUGGUAAAGGGCCACUGCAUCAUGUACACGGCCCACGGAAGCCGUUUCGAGGUCCCGUUGGUGUACCUCAGCAUGAUGGUCUUCGGAGAGCUCCUAAGAGUGUCCCAGGAAGAGUUUGGUUUCGCAAGCAAUGGAAAGAUCACACUGCCUUGUGAUGCCGCAGUGAUGGAGUAUGUCAUGUGCUUGCUCAGCAGAGAUGCCUCUGCUGAGGUCGAGAAGGCAUUGCUGAGUUCUAUGGUGAUAUCUUGCCACUACACUGUUUCUGUGAUGCCAACUGUUGGAGACAGCCAGAAAAAUUGCUGUUCGUAA
rnacentral:rRNA from 1 species